GAUGAACGCUGGCGGCGUGCCUAAUACAUGCAAGUCGAGCGAACGGACGAGAAGCUUGCUUUUCUGAUGUUAGCGGCGGACGGGUGAGUAACACGUGGAUAACCUACCUAUAAGACUGGGAUAACUAUGGGAAACCGGAGCUAAUACCGGAUAAUAUUUUGAACCGCAUGGUUCAUAAGUUAAAGACGGUCUUGCUGUCACUUAUAGAUGGAUCCGCGCUGCAUUAGCUAGUUGGUAAGGUAACGGCUUACCAAGGCAACGGUGCAUAGCCGACCUGAGCGGGUGAUCGGCCACCCGGGAACGGAGACACGGCCCAGACUCCUACGGGAGGCAGCGGUAGGGAAUCUUCCGCAAUGGGCGAAAGCCGGACGGAGCAACGCGGCGGGAGUGAUGAAGGUCUUCGGAUCGUAAAACUCUGUUAUUAGGGAAGAACAUAUGUGUAAGUAACUGUGCACAUCUUGACGGUACCUAAUCAGAAAGCCACGGCUAACUACGUG
rnacentral:rRNA from 1 species